rnacentral:tRNA from 1 species
UUUGCUUUAGUAUAGGUUUAGUAUAUCAAUUUUUCGUAUUGGGGGUAGUUAUUGACUAAGCAAAU